rnacentral:rRNA from 1 species
GACGAACGCUGGCGGCGUGCCUAACACAUGCAAGUCGAACGGGGUAUUUCUUCGGAGAUACUUAGUGGCGAACGGGUGAGUAACGCGUGAGAAACCUGCCUUUCAGUGGGGGACAAUAGUUGGAAACGACUGCUAAUACCGCAUAAUGUUAUUUAAGGGCAUCCUUGAAUAACCAAAGCUUUAUGUGCUGAAAGAUGGUCUCGCGUCUGAUUAGCUAGAUGGCGGGGUAACGGCCCACCAUGGCGACGAUCAGUAGCCGGUCUGAGAGGAUGAACGGCCACAUUGGGACUGAGAUACGGCCCAGACUCCUACGGGAGGCAGCAGUGGGGAAUAUUGGGCAAUGGGGGAAACCCUGACCCAGCAACGCCGCGUGAAGGAAGAAGGCCUUCGGGUUGUAAACUUCUUUUACCAGGGACGAAAAAAUGACGGUACCUGGAGAAAAAGCAACGGCUAACUACGUGCCAGCAGCCGCCGUAACAC